rnacentral:rRNA from 1 species
UACGGAGGGUGCAAGCGUUAUCCGGAUUCACUGGGUUUAAAGGGAGCGUAGGUGGCUUUGUAAGUCAGUGGUGAAAUCUUAGAGCUUAAACUCUAAAACUGCCAUUGAUACUGCUUAGCUUGAAUCACGUCGAGGUGGAUGGAAUAUUACAUGUAGCGGUGAAAUGCUUAGAUAUGUAAUAGAACACCGAUUGCGAAGGCAGUUCACUAGGCGUGUAUUGACACUGAGGCUCGAAAGCGUGGGGAUCAAACAGG